UAUGCGCCUCUUCUUACGUAGUAUAUUACUUACUCCAUGAUAAUCACUAUGAUUUAUUUGUCUCUGUGGUUGUGGAUAAACUUCUCCGCUGUACUAUUUAACUGCAAGAUAUUAUUUAUUGAAUAUUAACUGUUAUUAAAAUGGAUUUUGUUUAGUGUUCUAGAGAUUUUUAGUUUAUUGCCUGUCGUAUUAUGGUUUUUUGUUUACUAUAUAUUUACCAAAAAGUUAAUUUUAUCUCCGAAUGAUGAACAGUAAAAUCCUUAACACACUAGCUAGCACUAUUGAUAGCAAGGAAGAAGCAAAGAGACGUUUUGAAACUGGCACAAUUAUCCUUGAUGAACUUGGCAAAUGUGUGCAAAAUUGCCUUCACCGAUUCAAAGGCAAAGCUGAGUUAGCUACUGAAGAUGAUACAAGAAUUAUUCUACUUUGUGAAAAAUGGGAAAAAGUACUUGGCCAUGGCAUUAGAACAAACUUAGCAAACUCUACAAUUCAGAACUUGGUCACUGCUGGUUUAAACUUCACAUUCAAUAUAAUAAAUGUUGGUAAUUCACUUUGGAGUUAUACCUGCCUUCAUCUAACAAAACAUGAAAAAGAAAGGUUCAAAAUCUUAUCAAAUAUAAAUACACCAUUGGGAUAUUUUAGGGCUUUUUUAAGGGCUGCCUUGAACGAACGAUCUUUGGAAAGGUAUCUCCAAAGCUGGAUCAGCCAUGGUUUAUUGAUGGAGUAUUAUGAGGAAGGAGCCUUGGUGAGGUGUCCAGAAAUUUCACAUAAACUUCCUGGAAUAGCAUCAGGCUUAUCAACUGUUUUGUUCGCCUUAUCCAUUGACCGGCCAGAACUAAAUGAUUCACAACAACAAUCGAACCAGAUAAACAGAGAGGAACAUGUCAUACCACUGCCUGUGCCCAUUAAGACUUCUAAUAAUUUAAAAAGAAAACCACUUCGGCAAGUUAUAUCUUUUGAUAAAAAUGAACAGAAAAAUCAACCUAAUAACCAAGUAAACUACUUGCCGAACUUAGAGCCGGACAAAGACACAACGUGGCAGAGUGCUCCUGCCACUUGUCUCAACUCACCUGAUCCGAAAAUCAUGCCUCAAGCAGCUUCAACCAGUGAGCCCACCAGUUCAGAAUAUAAAAGCAGUUUCAGGCAUUUCUUUCCUGACAGUGUCAAGGGUAUAGACAGUCCAUCGCAAAUUCUCACCAAACUCUCGGAGUGUGCAAAAGAAAUAUUCUCUUCGUCUAACAGUAUCGACGUAAAUAACGUAGUGAAAGACGAUUUAUCUGAAGUAAGCAUAAAUAACUUAAAAAUAUCAGAAAGUGACAGCGAGGAAGUUGCAGGCAGUAUUAAUGGGAGUACAUCUUGUUUGGAACUUUGUUUUACAGAGGACGAAAGCGUACCUGAUAAUAAGAAUUUGAUGUCCAUCUUAGAAAGUAGGGAAAAAGAUUUUUUAAAUUUGCAAAUGAAAUGUAACCAAAUAGAAUUAGCUAGUAAGGAAAAAAUUCAGAAGUUAGAAAAUGUUGUUAUGGAUUUAAGCAAGGAAAAUGAUAGAUUAAAAGAACAGUUGCGACAUUAUAUGUCUGCAGUUGAAAUGGGAAUAGCUUUAAAAAGCGGUACUAGUACUGAGAAAAUAAAUAAUCAAGACAGUGAUGAAGUAAAUCAAUAUGAAAGAAAGCUGGUGCAGGUAGCUGAGAUGCAUGCGGAACUUAUGGAAUUCAAUCAACAUUUACAACACAGAUUGCAAGAAUUAGAAAGCUCUUCUGGCCUAGAAGUAUUAGAUUAUCCUCAAUCGAAUGUUAAAGUUCAUAUACCAAGUGCAUUUUUAAUAGGGAAGAAAACACAUUCGUAUCAUGUUUAUCAGAUUUUCCUGAAAAUUGGUGCAGAAGAGUGGAAUGUAUUCCACAGAUACGCAAAGUUCUAUGAGUUACAUUCACAACUAAAGAAAUGUCAUCCCGACAUUGCAACUUACAAAUUUCCGCCGAAGAAAACAUUGAGGAAACGAGUAGGGAUUCUCAUUUAGUGGAGCAACGCCGUAUCGCACUGCAGGCUUACCUUCGACACAUUCUCCUAGUUCUGCCGGAGCUAAGGGAAUGUAGGAACCGCGCUCACCUCGUCACCUUACUACCUUUCUUUGGAACGUCAUCGGUUUCUAGAGAAAAUGGAUUAAACAACCUUGAACGUCAACAUUCCAACGAAUCAGUAUCCUCGUACAAUGCACUUUGAUGGGUAUUCAUAGUUUCACAUUAUACGUUAAAAAAAAUUGCUACAACGCAGAUUAAAGUUCGAUGUUCAAGCAUAUGAAGUUGAACGUUAUAAAAUUUGGCGAUUUUUCUAAUUAACACGAUGUUAGUUCCUUUCCAAAUAUCCAAAUAAGUAUUUUGUGUAUUAUUUUAUUUUACAUUAUGUUGUAUUUUACUGUAUACAUUUAACUAAGUACAUUAUGUGAAAAUUCCAGCAAUUAAUGUGUACAAAUAAUAUUUAUUAAUUAUGUUGGUUAGUCUUAAUAAGAUUUUACAGAGUGAAUGUUAAUAUAUUUUGAUUACAAAAUAUGUAGAGUAUGGCUGACAAGUGAACAAGAUAAGCUCAAUGAUAUUGUUGUUACUCAAAUUUUAUCGCCAAUUGAGGCUUAUGGAUGAUCUGAACAAACAACAGAAGUACACUAAUCUCUACGUAUUUUAUAGUCAAAGGAACAAUGCUUUAAAUUCGUUUGUAUAUUGUGUAAUAAUUAUAUAGCAAUGAUAUAUUUAUGUAAAUAAGUAUAAUUAAAACGUAAAGGAUAAAUAUUCCAUAAGGGUAGGUGCACUCCCCAGGAAGCAUUAAUUGCUGCUUCUUAGAGCAUAAGAAGGUUUUAGCUGCCGCGUACUUUAAGUGUAUCGUUUUAAUAUAUUUACACUGGAAAAUUUAAUUUUUAUUGGAGUCAAUGAGGUGCAUAUCCCAUGAUAUCAGUUUUAGUUCGGCUUAUGCUUUUUUAAAAUAAUUUAAUUCUUGCUUAUAUUACUCAAAAUCCUAGACAUACUCAUAUACUACAUAUAUCAUAUUUUGUGUAAAAAUGUAAAAAAUUUGAUUGUUACAGUCUAAUUUUUGUAAGUCCCGGAGUAUAAAUUUCAAAAUUGCAGAAAAAAAAA
rnacentral:misc_RNA from 1 species